UUGAGUCCAGAUUCGAAUCUGUAAUAAAUUCUAGCAUGCUUAAUCAAAUUGGCUCCGGUGGUCCAUCUCUUGGGGACUCGCUUUGUAACAUUUGGAGGCCCCAGCGAGAUCCCACCAGGGGGGCUUCUCAGUAAGCCCCUCUAAGAAAUUUCACGUCCUCUGGAACAUCGGACCAUGCCCGGAUCUGCCUGCUCGGCGCCGUGGAAUCCUGUGCUG